GAUGAACGCUGGCGGCGUGCUUAACACAUGCAAGUCGAACGAAGCACCUUGAUUUGAUUCUUCGGAUGAAGAUCUUGGUGACUGAGUGGCGGACGGGUGAGUAACGCGUGGGUAACCUGCCUCAUACAGGGGGAUAACAGUUAGAAAUGACUGCUAAUACCGCAUAAGACCACAGCACCGCAUGGUGCAGGGGCAAAAACUCCGGUGGUAUGAGAUGGACCCGCGUCUGAUUAGGUAGUUGGUGAGGUAAAGGCCCACCAAGGCGACGAUCAGUAGCCGACCUGAGAGGGUGAUCGGCCACAUUGGGACUGAGACACGGCCCAA
rnacentral:rRNA from 1 species